AAAGGAUCUGAGUCCAUCCUUAAGCUUUUUCAUAAAUAAAAAUAAAUUACCAAGCUUAAGAAACAUUCAAAUAAGGUACAGCCUAUUUGAAACAGGAAACAACCUCAAACAUAGGGUAAUAUUAUUCAUAAUAACCAAGUGGGCCUAAGAGCAGCCAACUUUUAAAAAGCGUUAAAGCUUAAUUAUUUAUAACAUAAAUUCCAAAAAUAUUGCCAAACCCUUAAACAAUAUUGAGUGAUUCUAUGCCCAUAUAGAAAACCCAAUGCUAAAACUAGUAACAAGAAGUAAACCUUCUCCUAAAUGUAAACGUAAGCCUAAUAAACCUGGCACCUAUCGCCUGUGAACAAAAAGUGGAAACAACCCAAGAAAAAUCCACUAUCAUUAGCGUUAACCUUACACCAGAACAUUCCAGGAAAGAUUUAAAGGGAAGGAAGGAACUCGGCAAAAAUUAAUCCCGCCUGUUUACCAAAAACAUCGCCUUCUGGAAAAUUAUAGAAGGUCCAGCCUGCCCAGUGACGUAGUUAAACGGCCGCGGUACUCUAACCGUGCAAAGGGCGG
rnacentral:rRNA from 1 species